GCGCAUGUGGUGUAAGGCAUCGCUGCCCGGAAAGCAGAAGGUGCGGGUUCGAGUCCCGCCUGGCGCA
rnacentral:tRNA from 1 species